GAGAUAGCUGAUCAAUGAUUCUCAUCAUUGAUGUUUCUAUUUCUCCCUCUCCCUUUCUCUCUAAAAUCAAUAAAAUUCCUUAAGAGCUAUUAAUGAGAAAUAAAGUUAAAAAAAAUAAAAACCCAUUGCACACUUUAAAAGAUGGGCACUGUAGCAUGUUAAUUAUGUCAAAGCUGUUUUUAAAGGUAAAAUAGCUCCCAAGUGCUUCCCACCCAGCACAUACCUUUCCCAGCCCCCGAACUUACAAAGCAUAAGGGUCACUUGGGUGCUUGAGGCAACCGUUCUGGAGGAGGGCCCAGUGAUACGGUUUUUAAUAAAUGCACCAGGCAAGGUGGGACCCAGAGCAGGAGGAAGCAGAGGGCAGGGCUGGAGCUGGGGACUCGGGUACUUUCCAGCAAUGCAGAGAGCGGCCCUGCCAGGUGUGCCUGGAGCCCCCUGGCUGAGCAUCUCCAGGCAAGGGAAUGGCUACAGAAGUGAGUUGGCCAAACUCAAGGGGAGCCAGAGGUGGGCCUAUGCAGGUGCCACAAGCCCUCAAACUGACACAGAGAACCAGGAAUCUUCCUUAGCUUCCCCAAGCCUGGGAGCUCAGGAAUAAUACUGAAAGCAUCAAUAACCAUCUAUUACAUAUUCAAGUGUAAAUGGGCUAAAAAGUAAAGGUGCUGGUAUACAAAUGGAACAGGUAUUUACAGCCAGGUUCGGCUGAAUCUCGGGUGACUCUCGGGCACCUGGGAAAAUCGGCCUUGUCACUUCAAAGUCUACCCUCUUCUGGGCUUGGUCACCUACAUGACCACCAGACUUGAGCUUCAAAUGACUGUUUCCAAAAUUCCACUUUAAACACACCAUUUGCAUCCAUGAAGUUGCUUACAGGAAUGUGAUUUGAGCUCUACGUAUCUCAUUUCUGAAGGGGGAAUGUGGCAGUGUGUGGGAAUGACGACCUGGCCUCCCGAGAACAAGAGGCGGCUGCACCCUCUGGUCUGCCAUUAAAAGAGGGGGGUAUGGUUGUCUUAGGGCAGUGGUCGGCAAACUCAUUAGUCAACAGAGCCAAAUAUCAACAGUACUUCAAAAUAGACUCGCCCAGGCCGAAAACUGACUUCUGUGCAUGGGCCACGAAGUUUCAAUCGCACUGUACGCGUGCCCGCACGUGGUAUUUUGUGGAAGAGCCACACUCAAGGGGCCAAAGAGCUGCAUGUGGCUCGCAAGCCACAGUUUGCCGACCACGGUCUUAGGGGGUUGCAAACUCACAGUCCCAUAGUGUGCUGUUUGGCUUGCAUAGUGUGUUUUUUUUGUCUGCUAACAUUUUCAAAUGAGGAUAGUUUACAUGAAAUGCCUCCCUUCUGGCUUAUCUUGGAAAUUUGUAACAUUGACAUUCCCUCAUGGCCACAGCUGGCUGAAGCGGACCAUCACAGUGAGGACACAGCCAGCCUGCCCUUGACCAGCCAGCCAUUCCACUGGCCACCAGGAUAUGUGUGUGUGUCGAAUUCUCGUCCUGUCUUGGAAUCAGUUUUCUUCCAUUAUUUUUCUUUUGGAGUUGACCCAGUCCCUGAAUCAGUGAGCACCAGACAGGGCUGAUGAAGAAAGGAAGGGAUGAUGGUGGCCUGCGCAGGGACAGGGAGCAAAUGAAAUGAUGUCUACAAAACAUGUAUGUGGAUGUGCAUAUAAAGGAUGUUUCUAGAACACCGCAGGCACAUAGAGUGUGUAUGUGUGUCUUUCUGUUUGUCCAGAAGAGAGAGGGCGGGCACAGAUGCCCCUUGGUGACUAUACUCACGGGCCAGUCAUCAUCUCCACCGGCCGGUCACAGGAAAUGCAUUUCACCCGCUCAAACAGUUUCCUGGAAGACAUCAUUCAUCAGCUGUGGCACCCCAGCCAAGCCUGCGCGCUGCCCCUUUCCCAGGCAGUGUCUGGGGAGGCUGCAGGUCUGUCUAUGCCUCAUGGCCAGGACUAACCCUCAUAUCCUACACCCACUGGCCUGGCCCUGCUCAGUUGGCUUUGCUGGCCCCUGCUGACCCCCAUUUGUGGCCUCCUGGGGCAGAAGGGGGGAUAAAAGUGUGUGUCGCGCAUCUUCCUGCCCUAAACAUAAUGGAGGUCUUUAAAACCAGAGACCUUCUGGAAAGCUGACCAUCACAGUAGACAUUUGGGGCAUGAGGGGUGAUCUGAGGGCAGGAAGCCUCAUUGUCUGGGUGUGCUGUCUCGAUGGGGGUAGGGGACCUGGCUCUGUUCCCAGAUCCACCCAGGCUCCACUUGCAUGUCUCCUUCCCUCUCUGAACUCCUCAUUUGUGGCAAAAGGGCGCCAGCUAAGGCCAGAGCUGCCACCUCUGAGCGCCUGGGUGCUCUCAGGCCUCAUCCCAACCCUUUCCACACCCAGCUGGGAAGUACCGCCCCCUCUCCCCAAGUCCACAGGUCUGAAAUUCUUGCGUCUAGAAUCCCCUGGGAUCCCCCUCUCGUUCCCUCCUCAGACACAGGGUCCCCCAGCCUUCACAAGCUCCACCCCUCCCCAGGAGGGGCUCACUUCCUAAAGCCGGCGGCACUGUCAGGGUCGAAUCGGAGGCCUUCAAUUAGCAGCUUCUUGACUAUAUGCCAGACCUCAUUUAUGUCUUUCUUUAGACUGUCCAAAUCCGUGUUGUUCAGCUGGAACAACCAAAGGGGGGGUGGGGGGUGGGGGAGUGUUUAGUCAAUUAAUUCACAUGCUGCUUCACUCCAGAAAAGGAUUUGCAGUAACCUGCAAAGUGACAUCGAGCCUAACAAGAUUAAACAGAAAAAAGUGAGGUGGUUAAGGAGAGGGACCUGACAAAGCUUGGGUUAAGGUUCAUACCCCUAAUGCACGCUAAUGCUAGAGGGGAGCUGCCAAGUGAACUUCCCAGCAGCCACGGCAAAGAAACACCAUCAGUUCCUGCCUCCAAAUGAUAAAACCAACCCUAUGCUCAAUUACAGGCCUGCAGGCCCGAGAAACAUUCCUCCCAAUGGUCCCCAGACAACUAAUAUUCACACAUUCAACACAUUUACUGAGUGCAAAGUACUAGUAUACAUUCAAUGGCUUUGGAUAUAUUCACAGAGUUGUGCAAUCAUCACCACAACAAUUUUAGAACAUUUUCAUCACUCCCAAAGAAACCUCAUACCCAUUAGCAGUCACCCCUCACUUCCCCCCAGAUCUCUAGGGGUAGGUAACCACUAACCUACUUUCUGUCUCUAUAGAUUCGUCUAUUUUGAACAUUUCACAUAAAUGGAAUCACACAACCUGUGGCCUUUUUGUCUGGCUUCUUUCCCUGAGCAUAUUCUUUUCAAGGCUUAUUCAGGUUGUAGCAUUCCUUUUUAUGGCUGAAUAACAUUUAAUUUUAUGGCUAAACUAUAUAUUGUUUAUCCAUUCACCCACUGAUGGACUUUUGUGUUGUUUUCACUUUUUAGCAACUAUAAUGCUGCUAUAAACGUUCUUGUACAAGUUUGUACAUAGACAUAAGUUUUCAUUUCUUUUGGGUAGAUACGUAGGAGUGGAAAUGCUGACUGGUAUGGUAAUUCUAUGUCUAACUUUUUAAAAGACUGCCAGACUGUUUUCCACAUGGGACUUCUGAAUUUUUACAGUGUUCCUUCCAGUACCCAGAUUCUGGUCUCUAAACACCAAUGCCCACUAAAAGGAACCAGGACUCCAUAGGAGAUAUAGCUGACUCAGGUCACAGGAAGGGAAUGUUGAUAAUAAGCCUGUGACCUCUUGUCAUUUAAGAAAACAAGACAGUUAUCUGAUUACAGAAGGUUAAGUCAAAGGACUCAGAAGCUAGCCCACAGGCCAAAGAUGAGGCCAUGUGAGUGACAAAAUAAAUAGUAACUUAAUUGACUGAGUGAAUUAAAUAAUAAAAAUUCAUGAUUCACAGUUACACUCACAAAGAAGAAAUAAAAAAAGAAAAAUAGAAACUCUCAAUUGCCACCAUGUUUUGGAUGUGGGCAUGUCCAUCAAUAUACUGUCCUGAAAACUGAUCACUAAAGGAAACAAUUCAUCAUUUUUCUGUCUUUCCUGAAAGAACCAUAUUUCAGGGUAAUCAGCUCAAGUUGAUGAAGGAAAGCUAUUCACAGAUUUCUAGCUGAUAAAUGUAGAAGCUACAUCUGUCUUGCUCCCUUGGGUCACUCAUUCUAGGGGAAGUCAACUGCAAUGGUGUGAGGCCACUUGAGCAGCCCUAAGAAGGAGUUCAUGUCGUGAGGAAGUGUGGAGUCUUGCCCACAGCCAUGUGAGGGGGCCAUCUUGGAAGCGGCUCCUCUGGCCCCAGUCAAACCUUCAGAUGACAGCAUCUUCAUGGGAGAACCUGAGCCAUCCAGCUAAGCAGCUCCCAAAUUCUUGACCUUCAGAAACUAAAUGUUUGUUGGUUUAAACUGCUAAAGUACAGGGUAAUUUGUUACAUCACAAGUGAUAACUGAUACAGGGAAACUCGCCUUGCUGCCCAUGUCCUUGCUGAGCUGCUCCACAGUCUUCUUCCAGUCAUCCUCUUGGGACAUGACCCUCAACAGUAUGCCCUGAAUCAUCUCGUUCAGCUCCGUUUCCACCCUCUCCAGAUCAACCCGGCUUGCCUUGGCAGCCAGGAUGCUCUUGUCAGCUUUCUAGAGAGAAAAGGGACUCAAAGAGGCAGAGCUGCUGGGGUGGGAGCAAGGAGAAGCUGGGGGAGAUCAGAUCAUUUUGGUCAUUUUUUUUCAAGUUUGGGACCCUGGAUAUGUAGCCUUGGCUUAAAUUCAAUCCUGGGGUCUAUGCUGGCUCGAAGACAAUCAUCAGAUCUAAGCUAAGGUUUUCCUAUGACAGAGUUGGUGGGUGAUUUUUAAGUUCAUAUAACAAAUUGUCACUAACCUGAAGCACUGAAAAUAGGAGCUGAUGGGACAACUUUUGAGAAGUGUCCCCAGCCUUUCCAUGUGAAUAAAGGUGGAGGGAGACUGAAGUCACCCCGCCAGGUUUUGUCUUGGCUCGAUGAUUCCAUUUCCCUGGGUGGGAGAGCUGGGGCUCAGGAUGAGGGAGCAGGAGGGGAGAGAAAUCUGCUCACUCACCUCUUUUAACUCCUGCUCCAUCGCACUUUUGUCCGCCUUGAUCAUGUCUAGGUUUUUUAUUUGAGACUCUAGAAUCUAAGAAAAGAAGCAAAGGGCAUGUCAGCCAUCCCUGGAAUCCCUGAGGAUACUAUCCACCUCUCACCUCUACCCUUGCUGUGGUGCUAAGAAGGGACCAUGAGACCAGGUGGACAGCAGGUAGGGUGGGCACAUGGGAAGGCUUGGGCUCCUGGGUGCCUGGUGCCAAGAUUAGAAGGGAAGAAAUGUGAGACUUGGGAAAAGUUGUCCUCUUGGAGGCAGACAUGGCAAUUUUGUUGCACAGGGAGGCAGACCUAAGGCAGGAAAACAUAAACCAAUGCUUUGGCUCCUUAUAUGUUUAGGACAAGUUCCUCUCUUCGGAUCUGUAAUGAGGUCCCAGUAAGAACUGCAGUCUAUUCAUCAGCCAAGCACUUACAUAUCACAUACUGUACCCCAUUGUCAAAGGAAAACUCUUCUUUCCCUUUCCCAUGACUCUACUCUCUCCAUUACUUCUGCCUCCUCUCCACUUACUGAACUCUCCUAUGAGGCAGCAGCACCGACCUGGUUGGGAAGAGCCUCACGCCCACUGGGCUAUGUCCCCAGAGGCUGAGGUCACUUUUCCUCCAAAGCAGAAAAUAGGCUUCUACUUCUUCCUUCCUAUCUUGUCUUCCUCUCAUCCUUAGCAACAGAACCUCCAACUUUUAGCUGGCAUCUAACCUCCCAGAAUCAUGACUACAUUUCAUAGCCCCCCUUACAGCUUGGUGUGACCACUGGGGGUAAAAUAGAAGUGGAUAGAUGUCUUAUUCACUGCUGGCUUGAAUGCAGAAUUAAUGUCUAGAGCACCAGCAGCCACCUUGGAGCUUGAGGUGACCUUGUGAACGGAAGUCACACACCAUGGAAUUCUAGACCAGCUCUAGACCAAUCAUUUCUGACUUUCUUGUUUUUCUGUUACCUUGUUUCAGUCAGUUAUCUGGGAGUUCAUGUUAUUCGCAGUAGAACUGAAUUCUAAUUAAUGCAAAGCUCCAUCACAUCCACUUGCAAAGGGAAGUAAUGUUUUCCAGAGAGUCAAAAAAAAAAAAAA